CCCGGCCGAGGCCCUCCACGGGGGUCGCACCUGCUUGCGCAAUCCUGCGGGCCCAGCUCUGUGGCGAGGGAGCGGUCGGUGUCUCCAGGCGCGCCCCGCGCCCCGGCAGCCCUGCGGAGGCGCCUGGGCCGCGGGCUGCGCGGGCGGAGCUGCCCGGCCGCGGGGAGGAGGGAUGCCCGGGCGAAAGUUGCCAGGGAAACUUGAUCAACUCGAGCGCGCCGGUGCCAGCCUCCUGCAUAAUUCACGGGCGGCGGCGGCGGGCCGCCGGGGGCCCCUCACCUGCACCGGCCGGGUCCUCCCCCCCAAUCCGGCUGGGGCGCGCAGCGGGCAGAGGCCCGGCACCAGGCGCCGGCGCUGCGCGACCCCGGGACUGGGGGGACCGACCCGCGACCCCCCGGGCCUGCGCCGGCCGCAGCCUCCCGGAGCCCGCUGCUCCAGACGCGCGCACCUGCAUGGGGGCUCUGUGCGCCGGCUCCGCGCUGGGUGACCGCUGCGGGGUCUCUGGGGACCCUGCGCCCGCGGCUUGGGUCCCCGCCCCCCGCGCGCCCCCUGGCGGCCCCGAGCCCGCUCCUCGGCCAAGCCUACGGACCCAAGUCCCCAGGCCGGCGGGUGGCGACCGAGGGUAGCCAGACCCCGGGCGGACCCUGGAGAUUUCAUUGCCACCAGGCCUCGUUGACGGCCUGCUCCUGUGGAAGCCAGAGUGCAGUAUGGGAUCGGCAUUGUGCGCUUCUGGAGGGUCUGGGGUCUCCUCGUUCACCUGGACCUGUGGCUCCCACGCACAGCCUGGCACAUGGUAGACACCCAGCACGCACCCAGCACAUGCCCAGCGUGUGCCCAGCAUGCACCAGCAUGCACCCAGCUCACUUUCAGAGGAGAAACGGAGGGAGGGAAGGAAGAUGUCUGGAUAUACGCCGGAAAGCACCUGGGAACAGUCUGGGAACGCUGGUCACCCUCGGCGCCCACCCGGCAAUCCGGCUACAGCGGGCUGUGCCUGUCCUCUACCUGCGGGCCCCCUGUGAGCCGACAUAGCACCUGCCUUCUGCUGCAAACUCGACUUUCUCGGGCCUUCAGAGCACCUGCCCGCGGAGGUCGUAAUCCCGCCUCCCCGCGUACCCACGCGAGUCAGAUAAAGGACACCACUGCCGAGGACUUACUUGACACACUCACUUGGAAGGGGAAUGAGGCCUCCUGGUGGAAUCAGCUAGAAGGAAAAAGGGAAGCCCGCUAAGCCCUGCAAUCCCACACCUCUCCGUGCCUCGGGGUCCACUGCAGUGAGCAACGGAGUGAGGCCCAGGCUGCACCCACGGGAUAGGCAGCUGCAGUUCUGAUCUGGAAGGUGGUUCCUGACCUUUGACUCCCGUGGGAGGGAUGUUUGGAAGAAUGCAUGCCCCGCUGCUGGCCAGGAGCCUGGGCUUUGGCCCAUGGCGUGACCUCGAGUGAGUGUCUUAAUCUCUGCCGUCCAUCGUCCAUCCGUUCGUACAUUCCGGGUCCAGAAGCCAGCAGGAAAGCUUCCAGUUCAGCAGGCGUCACUCCCUGCCCUGCGGCCGUGGCAUGGCUCUGUCCUCACGCAUCUCUCUGCGGGGAGGGACCCUCACAAAUGAUUGGAUGCAUAAAUACUUGAAGUUGAGGUGCAUCCUCUGCGGCAGCCCACGGGUCUUAGAAGAGCACACAUGCCACAGACAUUCGCUGGCUGCCCACGCCCAUCUGCCCGCACUCGUAGCCACAGCUGGAUGUUCCCUGGGGUGGCCCUGCGGUUGACUGGGACUUACCCUGCUGUUAGUUGGGAGGGGACACCCACGGGGACCGUUCGUGUGAUUGGACAGCCGUGGGCAUGUCACCAGACCUAAGGCAAGCAGUGCUGAGGUGUCCCCUCUGCGGUGGCAAGUGGCAUGGAGAUGAUCCAAUCAGGAUGGACGUAGGGGUAUUGCUCUGAGGUUGGGAGCAGCACCCGUGCUUGCUGGAAAGCUUCAUAAUUUCUGCCCAGUACGAAAUGAAAAUGCAGGGCCCCUGGUUCAAAGCCAAAUAAAGUUACCAUUCAGGCACUGAAAUACCAAUUUCCUCUUAUUUCCACAGCAUUUCUGUUGACUUGACUCUUGAUGGUAUUUUUUAUUUUUAUUAUUUAUUUAUUUUAUUUAUUAAAGUUUUUUUAUUCAUUCAUGAGAGACAGAGAGAGAGAGAGGCAGAGACACAGGCAGAGGGAGAAGCAGGCUCCAUGCGGGGAGC
rnacentral:lncRNA from 1 species